UACGAAGGGGGCUAGCGUUGUUCGGAAUUACUGGGCGUAAAGCGUUUGUAGGCGGUUAUUCAAGUCAGUGGUGAGAUCCUGGGGCUCAACCUCAGAAUUGCCAUUGAAACUGGAUAGCUAGAGAAUGUUAGAGGAAAGUGGAAUUCCUAGUGUAGGAGUGAAAUCCGUAGAGAUUAGGAGGAUAUCGAUGGCGAAGGCAGCUUUCUGGGACAUUUCUGGACGCUGACGAAACGGAAAGCGAUGGGUAGCAAACUACGGGGAAUUC
rnacentral:rRNA from 1 species